rnacentral:misc_RNA from 1 species
AUAAUAAACAAUAGUCAUCUAAUUAUCAGAAAAUAGCAAUGUACAGAAAAUCCAACUUCAAAAAUCUCCUAGUGUAGUGCGUCGCACCUCAGCUGUUUUGGAUAUCAACUUGUUCAAAUCUAGUAGUUUUAACAGUAAUUUGGUUUAUUGGAAAAAAAUAAAUUACCAAAAAGAAAGAAGUAGAGAAUUCUCAGAAGGCAGAUUCUGUUACAAAGAUUUGUUGCAGGAAACAAUUGAAUUUAAUCUUUUAAAGCAUAGAUAACAACUGAUGCUUGAAGAUCGCGGUCAACCUUGAAGUGAGCAUGGAAAAACCUCCUUAUCUCUCUGAAAGAAUGUGCAAUCAAGAAAUCCUUCAACAGUCUCUCCUCAGAUUCAAAUAACACAAUGUGACUCGGCAGAGACCAGUUUUUUGCCAAUUCUGAUGCAAAACCAACAGGAUCGAACAUGAAACGAUCUGACUCAUCAGGGAUUUCUUUCUCUUCACUGGAGGAUGAGAUAUCAAGCCAAAAUGAAAUUUUUGAAUAACAAAAUUUUCCUGAAGUUUUUCUU